UGGCCAAUGAUGUGUGAUUUUGUUUUAACAAAAGAAAAAAGGAGGGGGACAAACCUGUCUUGAAUAUGGCAAAAUGUUGCUUUUAUUGACUCUUCAGGAGGUGAGUACAUGUGUUAGGUUAUCCUCUGAACUUUUCUGUGUGCCCAAGAUACAUGAUAAUGAAAACUGUGUGGAAAAAAAAACAAAGGGCAUGUGUAGUUCCAGGUUCCUGUCAGUGAGUUCUAGAAAAAAGAGGCCCUGGCUCGUGAGGACCUACUCCCUGCUAGGUCUUACAGGUCAAUUGUAGUGGAGCACAAGACCUGCUCAUAGGCCUUGUCCUGAGCCCACUGAGCUGGGCAGGUGCCGGGCCCUGUUCUGUUUUCUCACUGCAGCCCAGGGACCAACCAUGCUAGACAUUGAACUGGGUUCUGCUUCAGCUCAUCAUAUUCUUCUGCUUUGCUCUAAUCUGGCCUCUUCUGAGGCAAUGGAGCGUGGUGGAAUGGGUUUGCCUCCCAAUAGUUGGGAGCUUGGCUUGCGGGGCUGAACUUCUAGUGACUUUGGGCAGGUGGACUUCUAGCAUCCCUUUCCUGGCAGGGCCUGCUACUUGGGUCACUCCCUUGGUUGCCAGGAAACCUAGUCUUAGCAAGGAGUUGUGCCUGUGUCUGUAGGCCCCAGAGAAAAACAGACUCUUCUGACUUUAACAGAUGCAGAGCAGAGAGCUUGCUCAGGUUAUUUAGGAAGGCAGAUUAGAACAUUGGUUGCCCUAACACAGGGCCAGACCCAUGUGGACUCCACUUUAGACUUCAGGGUCCAGGGCUGGGCAAGAUAGGCUUCCCAGGAAGAGCAGGAUGCAGCAGAAGCUGUGUCCAUCCAGGGAGGAGGAUGUUGCUUUUUGUUUGUACCCCAGGUCUGGAAAGGGGCUCUCAUGCAGGUUGCUUAUGGAUUGGGAGCCGAUUCCAGAGAGCCCCCUAGGCCAUAGCUUCUGCCACAGCCUCCUUUGCCACUGGAGAGAAAGAGGUGACCUUCCAUUCCGUUGGAAGGAUGACCCCUGAGGACAUUCGCCAGCAAGCAUCCCUCUUCCUCGGCUGCUGGGAGUGUCCCUUGGAGCCUCUUCCAGUCUGACCCCCUCACCAUCUCAGGAAUGACAUCAAGGAACACAGAUCUGCAUCUGAGACCCAGGGCCCAAUCUGGAUGGGAAAGGCUGAGUUGUCUCUGAUGCUCUCCUGACUCAGGCUCUACAGGGAGAUGGAAGAGGCACCCUCCUCUUCCUCUUCCUCCCUGGUUUCUCCUCUUUUGCCCUGACCAGGAUUCCUCCCUGAGUCAUUCUAUCCCACACUGCCACUCAGCUCUGAACUUGAAUGACUGAGUGAUCCCAGGGCCUGCUGCCUGAACUUAGGGAAAGAACACAUGAUGAAAAGAUUCUUGGUCCAGCAGCAGUCCCUGAAAUGAAAGGACCGAGACAGAUGGAG